GUGAGUAACACGUGGGCAACCUGCCUGUAAGACUGGGAUAACUCCGGGAAACCGGAGCUAAUACCGGAUACUAUGUCAAACCGCAUGGUUUGACAUUCAAAGACGGUUUCGGCUGUCACUUACAGAUGGGCCCGCGGCGCAUUAGCUAGUUGGUGAGGUAAUGGCUCACCAAGGCGACGAUGCGUAGCCGACCUGAGAGGGUGAUCGGCCACACUGGGACUGAGACACGGCCCAGACUCCUACGGGAGGCAGCAGUAGGGAAUCUUCCGCAAUGGACGAAAGUCUGACGGAGCAACGCCGCGUGAGUGAUGAAGGUUUUCGGAUCGUAAAACUCUGUUGUCAGGGAAGAACAAGUGCCGGAGUAACUGCCGGCGCCUUGACGGUACCUGACCAGAAAGCCACGGCUAACUACGUGCCAGCAGCCGCGGUAAUACGUAGGUGGCAAGCGUUGUCCGGAAUUAUUGGGCGUAAAGCGCGCGCAGGCGGUUUCUUAAGUCUGAUGUGAAAGCCCCCGGCUCAACCGGGGAGGGUCAUUGGAAACUGGGAAACUUGAGUGC
rnacentral:rRNA from 2 species